rnacentral:lncRNA from 1 species
UUUAGGAGUUCAAGUGAGCCUCACUACAAAAGGAAAAAAAAAGAUGAGGGCCUGCAUUAAUAUUGACGAUGUGCCACUGACAUCCACCCCAUAAAAGCGACAGCGGCAAAUCCCUCCUGAGAACAGCUAUGUCGCCUCACCUAGUUUAUCACCUGUUGGGCCAAUAUGGACACCACUGGCUCCACAUAUCAUCCAUACGAGUCAGCUUAGACCCCGGACUGGGUGAGGAUGACGGACGGUGUGGAUACGGAAGCCGCUCAGCCUUCGAGUUAUUACAUCACCUUUCAUACAUGUCUGAUGGUUCUCUUGAACCUCUGCCACACAUGCCUCUCCACUACCUGCACUGUGAAGCUUUGGCACUCCGAGACUCGCAUCGCAGCAAGAGUCGAGUGCCCUAACACACACGCGUACACAUGGUGAUGUCAACCUCUCGUUGGCGACAAGCCAAAGGGGAACAUUGACUUGGCCACAGCAUUGCUGUUUUCUGGAUCUAGUGUUGCCUCCAGCCUACGAAUGAUGCGUUUCAUGGGUCUCCCAAGUAAUCAUUGAGCAAUCCUUCUGAAGUAAGGAAGUUGUUGGGAUAGUUGCCUCAUAAAUUUAGAAGAACUUAUAAACUGUGCGAAGAAGACGACACGUUAGAAACAUAACACGCACACACUUGAACACCAGACUUUCAAGUGUGUUUAUUUCUUGAAGGUAGAACAUUUAUAAGAGUUGACAGACAGCAAUUGCACCGAUAAUCUAACAACAGGCUGCGAAAAUGUGGCAAGACCACGCGCGUGUUACAGUCCCAGAAGGGUCAUUAUGUGACCAUUUAAGAAAUUUAGUUCCUUUUUUGUCUUUUUUUUUGCCAUGAGGGAAGCCUGAAUGACCUCUGUUUCUGUUCUUGUUUUUGCCUUAGAAAGGGAUUUAGUUUUUUCCAGCUGAGGAAAACAGCUCAUGCUGUCUCAGUUCUUGCAUUGUAAGGCAAGAUUACUGCCCGAGCCAGUGCGCAUGGAUGGCUUGUGUUCCUGCGCGCGUUCAUUGAAGCAGCGGCCAGUUUGACCAAUAUACGACCGACCACAGGGCAAAGGAAUUUAAUAAAUAACAUUUGACAUGC